AGUGAACGCUGGCGGCGUGCCUACUACAUGCAAGUCGAACGGAGUGGCGCACGGGUGUGUCAUGUAUAGCUCAUCUGCCCUACACUAGAGGACAACAGUUGGAAACGGCUGCUAAUACUCUAUAGUGUAGGAUGAGGCUAUAUUGUAUCAGCUAGUUGGUGAGGUAAUGGCUCACCAAUGCUAUGACGCAUAACUGGACUGAGAGGAUGAUAAGUCACACUGGAAAUGAGACACGGUCCAGACUCCUACGGGAGGCAGCAGGAGGGAAUAUUGCACAAUGGGGGAAACCCUGAAGAAGAAACGCCGCGUGGAGGAUGACACUUUUAGGAGCGUAAACUCCUUUUGUUAGGGAAGCGGUACCUAACGAAUAAGCACCGGCUAACUCCGUGCCAGCCGCCGAGGUAAUUC
rnacentral:rRNA from 1 species